rnacentral:rRNA from 1 species
AUUGAACGCUGGCGGCAGGCCUAACACAUGCAAGUCGAACGGUAACAGGAAGGAGCUUGCUGCUUCGCUGACGAGUGGCGGACGGGUGAGUAAUGUCUGGGAAACUGCCUGAUGGAGGGGGAUAACUACUGGAAACGGUAGCUAAUACCGCAUAACGUCGCAAGACCAAAGAGGGGGACCUUCGGGCCUCUUGCCAUCGGAUGUGCCCAGAUGGGAUUAGCUAGUAGGUGGGGUAACGGCUCACCUAGGCGACGAUCCCUAGCUGGUCUGAGAGGAUGACCAGCCACACUGGAACUGAGACACGGUCCAGACUCCUACGGGAGGCAGCAGUGGGGAAUAUUGCACAAUGGGCGCAAGCCUGAUGCAGCCAUGCCGCGUGUAUGAAGAAGGCCUUCGGGUUGUAAAGUACUUUCAGCGGGGAGGAAGGCGAUAAGGUUAAUAACCUUGUCGAUUGACGUUACCCGCAGAAGAAGCACCGGCUAACUCCGUGCCAGCAGCCGCAGUAACAC